CCUACGGGUGGCUGCAGUGAGGAAUAUUGGUCAAUGGGCGGGAGCCUGAACCAGCCAAGUCGCGUGAGGGAAGACGGUCCUAUGGAUUGUAAACCUCUUUAGUCGGGGAGCAAUGCCGGGCACGUGUGCCCGGAGGGAGAGUACCCGCAGAAUAAGCAUGGGCUAACUCCGUGCAAGCACCCGCGGUAAUACGGAGGAUGCGAGUGUUAUCGGGUUUUAUGGGGUUUAAAGGGUGCGUGGGCGGAUUUUUAAUUCAUCGGUAAAAUGUGCGGGCUCAACCCGGGCUGGCAGUUGAAACUGGGGAUCUUGAGUGGGCUAGAGGUAUGCGGAAUGCGUGGUGUAGCGGUGAAAUGCAUAGAUAUCACGCAGAACUCCGAUUGCGAAGGCAGCAUACUGGCGCGCGACUGACGCUGAGGCACGAAAGCGUGGGGAUCGAACAGGAUUAGAUACCCUUGUAGUC
rnacentral:rRNA from 1 species